GAUGAACGCUGGCGGCGUGCCUAAUACAUGCAAGUCGAGCGAACAGACGAGGAGCUUGCUCCUCUGACGUUAGCGGCGGACGGGUGAGUAACACGUGGAUAACCUACCUAUAAGACUGGGAUAACUUCGGGAAACCGGAGCUAAUACCGGAUAAUAUAUUGAACCGCAUGGUUCAAUAGUGAAAGACGGUUUUGCUGUCACUUAUAGAUGGAUCCGCGCCGCAUUAGCUAGUUGGUAAGGUAACGGCUUACCAAGGCAACGAUGCGUAGCCGACCUGAGAGGGUGAUCGGCCACACUGGAACUGAGACACGGUCCAGACUCCUACGGGAGGCAGCAGUAGGGAAUCUUCCGCAAUGGGCGAAAGCUUGACGGAGCAACGCCGCGUGAGUGAUGAAGGUCUUCGGAUCGUAAAACUCUGUUAUUAGGGAAGAACAAAUGUGUGAGUAACUAUGCACGUCUUGACGGUACCUAAUCAGAAAGCCACGGCUAACUACGU
rnacentral:rRNA from 1 species